rnacentral:rRNA from 1 species
UCUCUAACAUGUGCGCGAGUCAUUGGGCACGUACGAAACCCAGAGGCGCAAUGAAAGUAAAGGCCUUCCUUUCGGUUGGCCCAGGUAGGAUCCGUUGCCGACUCUCGGUCGCGGCGCACUACCGGCCCGUCUCGAUCGCCACGUCGAUGAGGCGGCGCUAGAGCGUACACGUUGGG